rnacentral:lncRNA from 10 species
UUCCAGAGGAGGAAGGAGGCUGGAAGAGAUGGGAUACUUCAUGGAGGUGGUAGAACAGGUCCUGGACAACAGGAGGGUGCCUUGGGACUGGACAUAAACUCUAUCAUUUGCCUGAAGCCUUUUAGGUCAUAACAUUGUUGACAUUGGAGCCAAGUUUUACUAAUUAAUAGCUCCAGGCAUGUGUGGUUUACUCCACCAUGGUCUUCUCAUCCUCUCUCCCCAUCCUAGGGAAAAGCUUUUCUUUCUUCCAGGUGUUACAACCUUUUCUCUGAAGCAGACCAAGAGAGACUCUUUUUUUUUUUAGACAGAGUUUCACUCUUGUCGCCCACGCUAGAGUGCAAUGGCACAAUCUCGGCUCGCUGCAACCUCCGCCUCCCAGGCUCGAGUGAUUCUCCUGCCUCAGCCUCCCGAGUAGCUGGGAUUACAGGCAUGCGCCACUGCACCUGGCUAUUCUUGAACUUUUAGUAGAGACACGGUUUCACCAUGUUGGCCAGGCUGGUCUCGAACUCCUGACCUCAUGUGAUCCACCUGCCUAGGCCACCCAAAGUGAUGGGAUUACAGGGGUGAGCCACCGCGCCCGGUCAGAGAAACUCUUAAGACUAUUAAUGGAAUUUAUCCUUCUGAUAAGAAAACUGAGACACAGAAAGGUCUCAGGAAGAAAAAAGACAAGGUGGAAUUCGGAUCCAGGCAGUAUGGAUUUAGGGUCUGUUCUCUCAAUUACCAUAUCAUAAUGUGUCUCUUAAAAAACUUUAAAAUGUGAAUGCUGUAUGCAAUGUUAACAAUGAUGUCGAUGAUAGCACAGAAGGCAGCUACUCUCACCUACUGCAGGUAAGAAUGUAAAUUGAACAAUUUCUCAGGGUCAAUUAGACACGACUUAAUGAAAAGCCAGAGAAUUCUGUAUGAAUAUUUGACCCAGCAAUUCCACUUGUUUUUUAUGGUAUCAAUUUAAAAUGGAUCUUUAUGCAUUGACACAUGAAUUUUAUAUACCUUUAAAAAAUUACACGAAGUUGGUGGCAAUCAGAAUGUGGGUGCCGGAUUCAUUUUUGCUUAUUUACAGCACUGCCAGCAUGUACUAAAGUAUUCAAAAUAUGACCAAAUUUAAGCAACCUCAGAUAAUGGUUGCUGUUUCUCCCCUCCCUAACAAACCAUUUUCUGUUCUUGGGUACACAAUUGGACUACAUAUCCCAGCCUUCUUGCAGUUAGAUCACAUGACUGAGUUCUAGUAAUGAAUACAAUUUCUGGGACAGAGCUUUAAAGAAGGAGGUGUUCCACCUCCAAGCUCUCAUUUUUCUUUCACUGACUGGAGGCAGAUGAUGAAUUUGAAGCCCUGACAAAGAGAAGGCAAAAUCAGUUUGUGUCCCUGAGUUGCUAAGUGGAGAAGAAACGUCCACCAACCAGGAAACACCUGCCUCCAACUGUUAAGUGAGCAUAGGUCUGUGAAAUGUGCUUUGUUUCUGGUCAGCAUGGACACCCGCUUUAAUAGUGGCUUCAGAUGAGGCACCUUGUGACAGAGGAGCUCUUCCCCUGCAGCAACCUUGAAGAUGUUGUGGAAGACAAUAGCCAUUCUUACUUCACUCUGAGGAUCACGAUGGCGUGCAAGGGUGUGCCAAGCACAUUGCUAUCUUUGGCCAUUCUCUCUCACAUUAGUACACCUGGAUGUGAAUGGCACGUUAUCUAUGUAAGCAGUGAUGGUCUCUAUCUGGUGGUAGAAAUGACAGAAUUACACACAAUCAGGACAGCUGAGAUUCCAUUUACUAGCUCAGUAAUCAGAGAAUAUGUAUGACAUCCCAGCAAAAAAUGUUGAACAUGUUCAGAUUUCAUCAUAUCAGCACCACAGUAUCAGUCUUACUGGGAGGUGCUCGCAUUCAGUUCCUGGCUACUGAAGAAAUUUUGCAGGAGUUCCAGAUAACUUACUUGUCCCAUAAUAAUGAAAACUAUUACAAUUAUGCUAAAGAAGAAUACUUAAUAACACAGUAAAAAUGUUUAUGAUGUCUUUUAAUUUCUAAAGCAUGUUAUAAAAGUAUUACAGUAUGAUCUCAUAUUUGUAAGUAAAAUAUAUAUUAAUUCAUUUAGCAAAUAAAUAUUAAGCCCCUACUAUGCACAUACCAAUAUAGAUAUUGGUAUUUGUGUGGGUGUGUGUUACAGCAGAUUUUAAUUUUCUUAUUUUGUAUUUUCUGAUUUAUCUACAAUGAAUUUGUAUUAAUUUGCUAACAAAACAUCACUAUUAAAAUAAAUUUUUUUUGAAUUAUAAGAAAAGGCUAACAUCAUAACAAUAAGGUUGUAUAGAAUAAACUGACAACACAGAAGUUAUUUUGGCCCUGUGUUCCACAGUGACUCACCAAAUAUACCCUGCACUGUUUAUUUUAUUUUUUUCUAUUUCACUAUUGAAAUGAACAGAUGCAUUUCACGUCACAUGGAUCUCGUGGAAACAUGCCAAACAUUUUCUUAGCAACCAAACUCCUGUCUUCUGCACUGUGCAUGAUUAACUAAAACAGCCUGUUGACGGCUUAAAAUAAACCUGCCUUUUCCAUUUAGCAUUUUAUCAAAUGAAUAUAAUUUCAUUUGCUGAUGAAUUUAGUUCAGCUUCAAGAGAAUUUUUCUUUUCUUCAUGGGGAGGCUGAAGAAUCAGAACUGUCAUACCAAAGAAUGAAAAGCAAGCCUAGGGAGAACAAGACAGUCUGAUGUUUACAUGGGGUUAACUUAUUUGAUCAGUGAAAUCAGAAAAGGAUCAUUCUGCAUUCGUGGACUACUCUCAUUGACACACUCGCUUACCCAUCUGAAAACAGCGUGAGUUCUGUGUGGAAACCUCCCUGAAUCAUACAAUGAACACAGUCUGGGUUCCUGAUUUGUAUCUGUUACCCUUCAUGGAAAUGGCUGGUGAAGCAAAACUAUGUGUGUAAAACUGCAUCUGCCACAGGCUGCUUGUCCACAAAAGCAGCAAAGCAUCUCUAUGGAAUACCUCCGUAUGGAUCUGUAAAGAAGAGUCCCACUUCAGUCAAAGACAGUAGAUUAUGAGGUAAGAUAACACGUGUAGUUUUUAAGAUUCCAUACUGACAAGCUUCUGUUGUUUUAAAAAAAAGUUUUGGGUGUUGAUACAGAAAUUAAUGCUAAAUAGAUAAUGAUCUCCCUCUAAUGACAUGCUUCAUCAUGUUACUUAUUCUCUUCUCUCAAAAAUACACGAUGUCAUUUAAUCUUCACAAUAAUCUUGUAAGAUAGGAUCAGCUCUAUUUCACUUCUGGAAGAUGUUAAGAAAAGUUAAUUAUUUGACAAAAGUUGUAAUUAGCAAUUGGCAAACACUCCAACCCAACUUCUGACUCCAAAGUCAGUGUUUUUACUAUUCUACUCUGGC